AGAAUAAAACAUGGCUUAAGGAUCAUUUAUUGAGUGUCUAACACAUUGUAAGGCCCAAGUUUAGCCCAGGCCCGUACAAACACAAAACACAAAAGAAAAAAUUAUUAUAAUAAAAAUAUUAUAACAGUCUAAAUUUAAAGGUCUAUUUACAAAUUUUCGGGCCUAAACCAAACCAAACCCAAGCAUUAAAUACCAAACUAACCCCUAACCCAAUAAACCUAACCCGAAUAGCCUAAUAAUCCUAACCCAAGGAACCCAAAAGCCCAAAUGUAGAAAUGGCCAAAUGGCCCAAAUGACCCAAAUUUUGGUUUCAGAAAGGGAAACCCUAGCAGCAAUGAGCGCUGUAGCCCGCAGCCCACAGCACCGUAAGACCGCCACGAGAGACCUCUGUACGCCCUACGCCGAGUGCCACGCACACCUCUGUAUGCCCCACAGCUAGCCCCGUAGCCUAUACCUGCACACCAAACGCAAGAGGACAACAGCAAAUACAAAAAAAAUAGAAAAUUUUUUAUUUUUAUUUGAUUUUUUAUUUUCGGCUAUAAAGCCAAGAGAUUUCAUUUUUGUAAGGUUUACCCACACAUAAUAAAGAAAAAGCAAUCAAAAAUAGCAAAGGUGAUUUCGAGUUUUUUCUCCUUCCCUCUCGAUUUAUUUUCUUUUUGGUUGGUUCGAUUUUUUAGUAUGUGAAUCGACACCGAUGAAAGCCCAAAUACCUCGUAGAUGCGAGGUAAGGGCGAGGGGUCGAACAGUGUUGAAAGCUUCCUUGUUCUAUGAACCUUUCUUCGUUUUUUUCUUUAAAAAUAACAUGGGAUUUGAAGUUUUUUUCAAAUAAAGAAGAAAAGGAGAACGAAUACACUCACUAAAUUCCUUUAGGCGAGGUCAAGCACCUUCAGUGGCGGGAUCGGGGUACUGUUGCGCGCUAUUGGUCAUCAGUUGUGAUGGUGGUUCGACGGGUGCGGCAAAAUAAGCCCUAGCAGAAUGGUGCCCUUGUUUUUUAAAGCAAAAGACUGGUUAUGUUUAAAAAGAAAAUGAAUAAAAAUAAGGGUUUAAAGGCUAAAUUAAAAACAGCGGCGUUCAAAAAGGGUAAAGAUCCGUGUGUUGACCCGAUUAGCAGGCCGGAUCCGUGCGCCUUUGCUUAAAUUGGGAAAUUUGCGCGCGUGGCCCUUCUCCUUCGUGCUAAUUUUGAAUUAGGUCGUAUUUACACUUUAUUUGUUUUUUUAAAUUUCACCUGAAAUUAGGGUAUCGUAUCAAUUUGAUUCCGGGCCUAAACAAUGCGUUUUGGGAUUUAGAUUAUUUAUUGCUUUAGUCCUUGUGUAUUCGCG
rnacentral:lncRNA from 1 species